rnacentral:rRNA from 1 species
AGCUCCAGUAGCGUAUAUUAAAGUUGUUGCAGUUAAAAAGCUCGUAGUUGGAUUUCUGGUUUGGUGAGCCUGACCCGCUGCUAUUUGCAGUGUGUGUCGGUCGUUUGCCUACCAUCCUUCCAGAGAACUUUGCCUCCCCUUCAUUGGGAUGGGCUAGCGAUCUGGAACUUUUACUUUGAAAAAAUUAGAGUGUUCAAAGCAGGCUUUGCGCUAUGAAUACAUUAGCAUGGAAUAAUAAUUUAGGACUACGGUUCUAUUUUGUUGGUUUCUAGAACUGAAGUAAUGAUUGAUAGGGAUAGUUGGGGGUGCUAGUAUUCAGCGGCCAGAGGUGAAAUUCUUGGAUUCGCUGAAGACUAACUUAUGCGAAAGCAUUCACCAAGGAUGUCUUCUUUA